rnacentral:rRNA from 1 species
GGACUACACGGGUUUCUAAUCCAUUUUGAUCCCCAUACUUUAGUACCUUAACGUCAAUAUAUACUUAGAUUAUUGCCUUCGCUUUCGGUUUUCUAUUGAGGUUAAAUGGAUUUCAUCCCUAAUCUCAAUGUUAAAUAAUCUUCCAUAAUAUUCUAGAUUAUUAGUAAAAUACUUUCAUAAUAUUCCGUAUACGUACCUUUUAAACCCAAUAAUAAUGCUUAAUGUUAGCCCUUCUAGUAUUACCGCGGCUGCUGGCAC